AAGUAGUAGUACCAUCACGACUCGGAUUCAAAGGGUUUUUUGUCAGUGAAGGUCAUCCGGCAUCAACCGGCAGCUUUAUUCCAAUAUCCCAUGAGACAAAAGAACUUCAAAAACGUUUGUUGGAGUCUGCUCCUGAAAACAAGGUUUCCGAAUCAUUGAAGGAAAAUAUUUUAGAGGAAAUUGAAAAUCAAGGAUAACUAAUAUAAUCACUA
rnacentral:lncRNA from 1 species